CACGUAGGGGCCAAGCGUUGUCCGGAUUUAUUGGGCGUAAAGAGCUCGUAGGCGGUUCGACAAGUCGGGCGUGAAAACUCCGGGCUCAACCCGGAGACGCCACCCGAUACUGUCGUGACUGGAGUCCGGUAGGGGAGUGGGGAAUUCCUGGUGUAGCGGUGAAAUGCGCAGAUAUCAGGAGGAACACCGGUGGCGAAGGCGCCACUCUGGGCCGGUACUGACGCUGAGGAGCGAAAGCGUGGGUAGCAAACAGG
rnacentral:rRNA from 1 species